GAUGAACGCUGGCGGCGUGCCUAAUACAUGCAAGUCGAGCGAACAGACGAGGAGCUUGCUCCUCUGACGUUAGCGGCGGACGGGUGAGUAACACGUAGAUAACCUACCUAUAAGACUGGGAUAACUUCGGGAAACCGGAGCUAAUACCGGAUAAUAUAUUGAACCGCAUGGUUCAAUAGUGAAAGACGGUUUUGCUGUCACUUAUAGAUGGAUCCGCGCCGCAUUAGCUAGUUGGUAAGGUAACGGCUUACCAAGGCGACGAUGCGUAGCCGACCUGAGAGGGUGAUCGGCCACACUGGAACUGAGACACGGUCCAGACUCCUACGGGAGGCAGCAGUAGGGAAUCUUCGGCAAUGGGCGAAAGCCUGACGGAGCAACGCCGCGUGAGUGAUGAAGGUCUUCGGAUCGUAAAACUCUGUUAUUAGGGAAGAACAAAUGUGUAAGUAACUAUGCACGUCUUGACGGUACCUAAUCAGAAAGCCACGGCUAACUACGUG
rnacentral:rRNA from 1 species